AGAAAUUUCUAACACCCGAUUCAUUAUCUUAAAAGUUGUCUAUCUCUUUAAAACCUUUGUUUCCUACUCUUACUUUUCCUUCUCUCUAGAUUCCUUCAAUCUCAAUUUAUUUGUUCAAUAAUCAAGCAGUGCCUAAGCAAUCCUGGUGUCAAGAGCUUUCCAUUCCAUUGAUCCAUUUUGUGUUUAGAACUGUGAUCCAUAGGUGUUCUGAGGAUUUUCUUGAGGUGCAAGCAAUUUUCUAAAGGUGUUAGAAGUUGUUCUGUUCCGUUAGAGAGGGAGAGGAGUUCCCUCUGGAACAAGCACUGGAAGGAGAGGAUCCAUCUGUUUAGUAUAAGACCGUGCAGUCUCGUACAUAGUUUUGUAUCAGCAUAGGAUUUUGUAAAGUUCUUAAUUUUAUGGUUAUUGUAAGAUAAUUGCAAGUUAACUUUAUUUAGAGUAACUGUUCUACCAUAUUAUUAUGUGAUGAUUCUUUCAUAUAGUUUCAUGCUAUA